rnacentral:RNase_P_RNA from 1 species
UCAGGCGGCUGGGCGACCGCGGGGCUUUGGUCUCGAGGAAAGUCCGGGCUCCAUGGCGGCAGGGUGCCGGGUAACGCCCGGCCAGCGUGAGCUGAGGGACAGCGCCACAGAGAAUAUCCGCCUCGCUAGACGGGGUCAGGGUGAAAAGGUGCGGUAAGAGCGCACCGCCGGGGCGGCAACGUCCUCGGGCAUAGGCAAGCCCCGCCCGGAGCAAGACCGAAUAGGGACGCCGCGCCCUUCGCAAGAAGGGCAGGCCCGCCGUCAGGCUGAGGGGUCCGGGUUGGUUGCAGGAGCGUCCUCGCAAGGGGGCGCCUCAGAUGAAUGGUCGCCCAGGGGUGCUCGCACCCUGGACAGAACCCGGCUUACAGGCCGCCUGAUGCU